rnacentral:rRNA from 2 species
AUGCAAGUCGAACGGUGAAGGUGGAGCUUGCUCCGCCGGAACAGUGGCGAACGGGUGAGUAACACGUGGGCAAUCUGCCCCUAACUCUGGGAUAACUACUCGAAAGAGUAGCUAAUACCGGAUACGAAAUCUGAGGACAUCCUCGGAUUUGGAAAGUUUUUCGGUUAGGGAUGAGCCCGCGGCCUAUCAGCUAGUUGGUGAGGUAGUGGCUCACCAAGGCGACGACGGGUAGCCGGCCUGAGAGGGCGACCGGCCACACUGGGACUGAGACACGGCCCAGACUCC